rnacentral:rRNA from 1 species
GAUGAACGCUGGCGGUAUGCUUAACACAUGCAAGUCGAACGGACUCUUCGGAGUUAGUGGCGGACGGGUGAGUAACGCGUGAGAAUCUGGCUUUGGGUUCGGGACAACCACUGGAAACGGUGGCUAAUACCGGAUGUGCCGAGAGGUAAAAGAGAAAUUGCCUGAAGAUGAGCUCGCGUCUGAUUAGCUAGUUGGUGAGGUAAAGGCUCACCAAGGCAGCGAUCAGUAGCUGGUCUGAGAGGAUGACCAGCCACACUGGGACUGAGACACGGCCCAGACUCCUACGGGAGGCAGCAGUGGGGCAUUUUCCGCAAUGGGCGAAAGCCUGACGGAGCAAUACCGCGUGAGGGAAGAAGGCUCUUGGGUUGUAAACCUCUUUUCUUAGGGAAGAACAAAAUGACGGUACCUAAGGAAUCAGCAUCGGCUAACUACGUG